UGGAUUCCUCCAUCAUAGAUAUCCUACGCCCGUGCCCCUGUAGUCGCUAGAUCCAUAGUAUGUUAAUCCAAGGGUCCAGAUCUGAGUCAGUAGUAUACUCUUCACCUGGGCUUCUGAACAGGUGGGCAUGCAUCCCAACCUUUGUUCACCCCCCCUUCCUACUGUUUGAAUACCCCUGGUUGGGUUUACAUUGUUAGGCCCAUUUGUUUUUUUUCUCUUUUUUUAUUUUUU
rnacentral:lncRNA from 1 species